rnacentral:rRNA from 1 species
UACGAAGGGGGCUAGCGUUGCUCGGAAUCACUGGGCGUAAAGGGUGCGUAGGCGGGUCUUAAGUCAGGGGUGAAAUCCUGGAGCUCAACUCCAGAACUGCCUUUGAUACUGAAGAUCUUGAGUUCGGGAGAGGUGAGUGGAACUGCGAGUGUAGAGGUGAAAUUCGUAGAUAUUCGCAAGAACACCGGUGGCGAAGGCGGCGACCUGGUUCGAUACUGACACUGAGGUGCGAAAGCGUGGGGAGCGAACAGG